GAUGAACGCUGGCGGCGUGCCUAAUACAUGCAAGUCGAGCGAACGGACGAGGAGCUUGCUUCUCUGAUGUUAGCGGCGGACGGGUGAGUAACACGUGGAUAACCUACCUAUAAGACUGGGAUAACUUCGGGAAACCGGAGCUAAUACCGGAUGAUAUUUUGAACCGCAUGGUUCAAUAGUGAAAGACGGUCUUGCUGUCACUUAUAGAUGGAUCCGCGCUGCAUUAGCUAGUUGGUAAGGUAACGGCUUACCAAGGCAACGAUGCAUAGCCGACCUGAGAGGGUGAUCGGCCACACUGGAACUGAGACACGGUCCAGACUCCUACGGGAGGCAGCAGUAGGGAAUCUUCCGCAAUGGGCGAAAGCCUGACGGAGCAACGCCGCGUGAGUGAUGAAGGUCUUCGGAUCGUAAAACUCUGUUAUUAGGGAAGAACAAAUGUGUAAGUAACUGUGCACAUCUUGACGGUACCUAAUCAGAAAGCCACGGCUAACUACGUG
rnacentral:rRNA from 1 species